GCCAACAUAUUAAUUAAAACGCUUCUACAAAUGCGAGUGGAAGCGGAAUAAAUAAGAUUGCGUUAGAAUAAGCCUUUGUUGGCUGCUUGUGUGGGGGUGUGUGUCGGCCGCAUAUGGUGUACCGGUAAUUGCAGGUAAUUAAUGCACAGAAUCGAAAGUGAAAUAUCGCAUCACAAUUUGAAUAAAAUAUAAAUUUAUUCGCCGCUCGAGCCGCCCGGAUUGACAAGCGUUUCAGUUGCAGUUAAAUGAGCAGGUGUGUGUGUGCGUAUAUGGCCUGCCGUAUGCAAGCUAGACGGUCAGUCGAUGAGCGUGUUGUCCACCCGCUUCUCCUACAGCAUCCACCCCUCCCUGAAUUAAACAGCCGACGAGACAGCAAUACAGCGGACGGUAUUCUAUGUUAAAUCAUAGGUUUGGUGGCGACGAUCAAGAUGUCUGGUGGGCGUUGGAGCGUUAAUUUAAAUUGAGGUAUUCAAAGAGACCAUUUAACAUAACAAUGAACUUAUUUAGAACGACCAUGAUUACAACAACACUAAAGACAGCAAAAAGCAACAACGGAUCUAAUAUGGCGAAUAUUUUCGAAAUAAAACUGUAAAACUCUUUGAUUCGGAUACCAAACAAAAAUCAAAUUUAACAAGAACGCAAAGAAAGAGACAAAUUCUGAAGCAUUAUCCUUUAUUUGGACUGGAUAAUUGGCGUAUCAUAUAUGAUUAUGUUAUGAUAAAAGAAAAAUAUGGAUUCAGCUUUGUAGAGCAGUUCCAUUUGUAAACAUCUGGAUUCAAAGACAAAAUUGGGAAUGGAUGAAAGACACUUUCGACAAUAUAAAAAGAAAACAACGGCUGAUGAAGCGACGAAGUACUACCAGUUAAGGUAAAGAAGAUAAUCUUUUUAAAUGGUUUUAAAUGAAAAAAAUGGAACUAAUUAAAUAUAUCGCAUACGAAGUAUGAGUGUUGCAACACUUCCAA